AUUGAACGCUGGCGGCAGGCCUAACACAUGCAAGUCGAACGGUAACAGGGAUCAGCUUGCUGAUUCGCUGACGAGUGGCGGACGGGUGAGUAAUGUCUGGGAAACUGCCUGAUGGAGGGGGAUAACUACUGGAAACGGUAGCUAAUACCGCAUAACGUCGCAAGACCAAAGAGGGGGACCUUCGGGCCUCUUGCCAUCGGCUGUGCCCAGAUGGGAUUAGCUAGUAGGUGGGGUAACGGCUCACCUAGGCGACGAUCCCUAGCUGGUCUGAGAGGAUGACCAGCCACACUGGAACUGAGACACGGUCCAGACUCCUACGGGAGGCAGCAGUGGGGAAUAUUGCACAAUGGGCGCAAGCCUGAUGCAGCCAUGCCGCGUGUAUGAAGAAGGCCUUCGGGUUGUAAAGUACUUUCAGCGGGGAGGAAGGGAGUAAAGUUAAUACCUUUGCUCAUUGACGUUACCCGCAGAAGAAGCACCGGCUAACUCCGUG
rnacentral:rRNA from 1 species